rnacentral:rRNA from 1 species
UUAAGUUAUUAAGGGCGCACGGUGGAUGCCUUGGCACUAGAAGCCAAUGAAGGACGUUACUAACGACGAUAUGCUUUGGGGAGCUGUAAGUAAGCUUUGAUCCAGAGAUUUCCGAAUGGGGAAACCCAGCAUGAGUUAUGUCAUGUUAUCGAUAUGUGAAUACAUAGCAUAUCAGAAGGCACACCCGGAGAACUGAAACAUCUUAGUACCCGGAGGAAGAGAAAGAAAAUUCGAUUCCCUUAGUAGCGGCGAGCGAAACGGGAAGAGCCCAAACCAACAAGCUUGCUUGUUGGGGUUGUAGGACACUCUAUACGGAGUUACAAAGGACGACAUUAGACGAAUCAUCUGGAAAGAUGAAUCAAAGAAGGUAAUAAUCCUGUAGUCGAAAAUGUUGUCUCUCUUGAGUGGAUCCUGAGUACGACGGAGCACGUGAAAUUCCGUCGGAAUCUGGGAGGACCAUCUCCUAAGGCUAAAUACUCUCUAGUGACCGAUAGUGAACCAGUACCGUGAGGGAAAGGUGAAAAGCACCCCGGAAGGGGAGUGAAAUAGAACCUGAAACCGUGUGCUUACAAGUAGUCAGAGCCCGUUAAUGGGUGAUGGCGUGCCUUUUGUAGAAUGAACCGGCGAGUUACGAUUUGAUGCAAGGUUAAGCAGUAAAUGUGGAGCCGUAGCGAAAGCGAGUCUGAAUAGGGCGUUUAGUAUUUGGUCGUAGACCCGAAACCAGGUGAUCUACCCUUGGUCAGGUUGAAGUUCAGGUAACACUGAAUGGAGGACCGAACCGACUUACGUUGAAAAGUGAGCGGAUGAACUGAGGGUAGCGGAGAAAUUCCAAUCGAACCUGGAGAUAGCUGGUUCUCUCCGAAAUAGCUUUAGGGCUAGCCUCAAGUGAUGAUUAUUGGAGGUAGAGCACUGUUUGGACGAGGGGCCCCUCUCGGGUUACCGAAUUCAGACAAACUCCGAAUGCCAAUUAAUUUAACUUGGGAGUCAGAACAUGGGUGAUAAGGUCCGUGUUCGAAAGGGAAACAGCCCAGACCACCAGCUAAGGUCCCAAAAUAUAUGUUAAGUGGAAAAGGAUGUGGCGUUGCCCAGACAACUAGGAUGUUGGCUUAGAAGCAGCCAUCAUUUAAAGAGUGCGUAAUAGCUCACUAGUCGAGUGACACUGCGCCGAAAAUGUACCGGGGCUAAACAUAUUACCGAAGCUGUGGAUUGUCCUUUGGACAAUGGUAGGAGAGCGUUCUAAGGGCGUUGAAGCAUGAUCGUAAGGACAUGUGGAGCGCUUAGAAGUGAGAAUGCCGGUGUGAGUAGCGAAAGACGGGUGAGAAUCCCGUCCACCGAUUGACUAAGGUUUCCAGAGGAAGGCUCGUCCGCUCUGGGUUAGUCGGGUCCUAAGCUGAGGCCGACAGGCGUAGGCGAUGGAUAACAGGUUGAUAUUCCUGUACCACCUAUAAUCGUUUUAAUCGAUGGGGGGACGCAGUAGNAUAGGCGAAGCGUGCGAUUGGAUUGCACGUCUAAGCAGUAAGGCUGAGUAUUAGGCAAAUCCGGUACUCGUUAAGGCUGAGCUGUGAUGGGGAGAAGACAUUGUGUCUUCGAGUCGUUGAUUUCACACUGCCGAGAAAAGCCUCUAGAUAGAAAAUAGGUGCCCGUACCGCAAACCGACACAGGUAGUCAAGAUGAGAAUUCUAAGGUGAGCGAGCGAACUCUCGUUAAGGAACUCGGCAAAAUGACCCCGUAACUUCGGGAGAAGGGGUGCUCUUUAGGGUUAACGCCCAGAAGAGCCGCAGUGAAUAGGCCCAAGCGACUGUUUAUCAAAAACACAGGUCUCUGCUAAACCGUAAGGUGAUGUAUAGGGGCUGACGCCUGCCCGGUGCUGGAAGGUUAAGAGGAGUGGUUAGCUUCUGCGAAGCUACGAAUCGAAGCCCCAGUAAACGGCGGCCGUAACUAUAACGGUCCUAAGGUAGCGAAAUUCCUUGUCGGGUAAGUUCCGACCCGCACGAAAGGCGUAACGAUUUGGGCACUGUCUCAACGAGAGACUCGGUGAAAUCAUAGUACCUGUGAAGAUGCAGGUUACCCGCGACAGGACGGAAAGACCCCGUGGAGCUUUACUGUAGCCUGAUAUUGAAAUUCGGCACAGCUUGUACAGGAUAGGUAGGAGCCUUUGAAACGUGAGCGCUAGCUUACGUGGAGGCGCUGGUGGGAUACUACCCUAGCUGUGUUGGCUUUCUAACCCGCACCACUUAUCGUGGUGGGAGACAGUGUCAGGCGGGCAGUUUGACUGGGGCGGUCGCCUCCUAAAAGGUAACGGAGGCGCUCAAAGGUUCCCUCAGAAUGGUUGGAAAUCAUUCAUAGAGUGUAAAGGCAUAAGGGAGCUUGACUGCGAGACCUACAAGUCGAGCAGGGUCGAAAGACGGACUUAGUGAUCCGGUGGUUCCGCAUGGAAGGGCCAUCGCUCAACGGAUAAAAGCUACCCCGGGGAUAACAGGCUUAUCUCCCCCAAGAGUUCACAUCGACGGGGAGGUUUGGCACCUCGAUGUCGGCUCAUCGCAUCCUGGGGCUGUAGUCGGUCCCAAGGGUUGGGCUGUUCGCCCAUUAAAGCGGUACGCGAGCUGGGUUCAGAACGUCGUGAGACAGUUCGGUCCCUAUCCGUCGUGGGCGUAGGAAAUUUGAGAGGAGCUGUCCUUAGUACGAGAGGACCGGGAUGGACAUACCUCUGGUGUACCAGUUGUCGUGCCAACGGCAUAGCUGGGUAGCUAUGUGUGGACGGGAUAAGUGCUGAAAGCAUCUAAGCAUGAAGCCCCCCUCAAGAUGAGAUUUCCCAACUUCGGUUAUAAGAUCCCUCAAAGAUGAUGAGGUUAAUAGGUUCGAGGUGGAAGCAUGGUGACAUGUGGAGCUGACGAAUACUAAUCGAUCGAAGACUUAAUCAA